AUCAAAGACCGUCCGAAAGUAUGAUUGAGCACCAUUGCCUCCGAAUGGCUUUCCUUGUCUUGUUAUUUGUCUGCACCCACGGAUCCCCUCCUAAAGUGAUAGACUUUCUGUCCCAAGGUGAAGUGGACAAUCAGUGCUUUGAUGCAUCAUCCCUUGCUCUCGUUGAAACACGACACAUAAAUGCAGUUGAAAGUGUACACGACCUAUGGAAGUUCCUGAUAUACCUGAGGGAGUCCAAGAUACCCAAGCACAGAUUCCUCUUCUGGGAUUUGGCUCAGCUGUUCUGGGAUGUUUAUGUGGAUUGCGUGUUGGCAAGAACUCAUGGCCUAGGCAAAUGAGAAACAAUCUCUGAUGGGAAUUUCACAGUUCAAAGCCACAACAUUUGUGAUGCUGAAGAAUUCCUCUUAAAAUAAGGAAGCCCGGUAGUGAUAGGAUCAACUUUUGGACUCAAGUCGUCUCUGAACUUCUGUUUUAUAAUUGGAUGUGACUCUUUCUUGUACUUAUUGUCUCAAUCCUUAAAUGCUGCAUUCCAGAAUAAAGGCUGGCAUAAAAUAGGAAAUUUAACAUCCACUGGUUUAUAUAAAGGAACAUAUUUUUGCUAUAAGAUUAUUUCAUGCGUAAAAGAGAAAGAGGCAGACGUGAAAAAUCUGCAUUCCACUUUCAAUUGUUCCUGACCUUUGGUGUAGUUUUCAAAUAUUUUUAUGCUAUAUAAUUAGAACAAAUGUACCUCAG